GGUGUUGUAGCUCAGUGGUAGAGCGCUCGCCUAGCACGUGUGAGGCCCUGGGUUCGAUCUCAGCAUCACGU
rnacentral:tRNA from 1 species